rnacentral:lncRNA from 1 species
UUUAUGUUUUUUGGUCACAAAUACCACUAGGCUCAACAAAUUCCAUCCCUAACAUUAUUCAUUAACCAAUAUGAUUAAAUGCCCCUCUGAUUAUCACACCCAAACAAACACAUCUCUCUCCAUACACGACCUCGCUGUCGCCGGAUUCUCUUCAAACCCUCACAGUUUCCAUCACGUCUCCUCUCUCUCCUCGAUCAAAGAGAUAUGAUUUCAGUGGUUUUCGGAAUCUCAUCGCGUUGCCGGUCGACUCGUCGGAUUCUCUAUCGCCUCAAUGGUAUAUUGUUG